CUACCCCAAGGCCUGAUGAAACCCACUUCUUUUGGCCCAAGGAAACUCACAUGCUGGCAACAUUUAUGUACUGUAUUCAUUUCCUAGGGCUUCCCAUAACAAAUUAUGAAAAAAAUGGGGUGACUUUUUUUAACUUGUUUUAACAGCAAGAAUUUCUUUUCUCACAGUUUUGGAGGCUAGAAGUCUGAGAUCAAGACAUUGGCAGGUCCAUGCUCUCUGAUGGCUUUAAGGAAGAGCCCUCCCUGCCUCUUCCUGGCUUCUGUAGGUUCUUGGCAAUCCUUGGUUUGUAGAUGCAUCACUCCAACCUCUGCCUCUGUCAUCACAUGGCUACAUCUUCUCCCUGCAUGUCUCCUUCUUCCUCCUAUAAGGCCAUUAGUCAUACUGAAUUAAGAACCCAUCAUAUCUUAACUGAUAUCUCCAAUGACGCUGGUUUCCAAAUAAGGUCACUUUUUUUUUUUUUUUUUUUUUUGGAGACAGAGUCUCGCUCUGUCACCCAGGCUGGAGUGCAGUGGUGCAAUCUCAGCUCACUGUAACUUCCACCUCCUGGGUUCAAGCGAUUCAUGUGCCUCAGCCUCCAGAGCAGCUAAAGAUAAUUUUUUGUGUUUUUAGUUUGAGGUCACGAGUUUGAGACCAGCCUGACCAACAUGUCUAAACCCCAUCUCUACUGAAAAUAUAAAAAUUAGCCAGGUGUGGUGGUGCGUGCCUGUAGUCCCAGCUACUUGGGAGGCUGAGGCAGGAGAAUUGCUCGAACCUGGGAGGUGGAGGUUGCAAUGAGCCGAGAUCAUGCCACUGCACUCCAGCCUGGGUGACAGAGGGAGACUCCAUCUCAAAAAAAAAAAAAAAAAAAUUAUCCUGGUGUUGGGGCAUGUUCCUAUAGUCUCAGCUACUUGCGGGGCUGAGGUGGGAGAAUUGAUUGAGCCUGGAAGGUUGAGGCUGCAGUGUGCUAU
rnacentral:lncRNA from 1 species